rnacentral:rRNA from 1 species
CCUACGGGAGGCAGCAGUGGGGAAUAUUGCACAAUGGGGGGAACCCUGAUGCAGCGACGCCGCGUGGGUGAAGGAGUAUUUCGGUAUGUAAAGCCCUAUCAGCAGGGAAGAACAAUGACGGUACCUAACUAAGAAUCACCUGCUAAAUACGUGCCAGCAGCCGCGGUAAUACGGAUGGUGCAAGCGUUAUCCGGAUUUACUGGGUGUAAAGGGAGCGCAGGCGGCGCGUUAAGCCGGGUGUGAAAGCCCGCGGCUCAACCGCGGGACUGCAUUGGGAACUGGAGCGCUGGAGUGCGGGAGGGGUAGGCGGAAUUCCUGGGGUAGCGGUGAAAUGCGUAGAUAUUAGGAGGAACACCAGUGGCGAAGGCGGCCGACUGGAGGGUGACUGACGCUGAGGCUCGAAAGCGUGGGGAGCAAACAGGAUUAGAUACCCCAGUAGUC